CCUACGGGUGGCUGCAGUGGGGAAUAUUGGACAAUGGGCGAAAGCCUGAUCCAGCCAUGCCGCGUGUGUGAAGAAGGCCUUCGGGUUGUAAAGCACUGUCAGUGGGGAAGAAAGCCUUGGGGCUAAUACCCUCGAGGAAGGACAUCACCCACAGAAGAAGCACCGGCUAACUCCGUGCCAGCAGCGGCGGUAAUACGGAGGGUGCGAGCGUUAAUCGGAAUUACUGGGCGUAAAGCGCGCGUAGGCGGUCUGAUAAGCCGGUUGUGAAAGCCCCGGGCUCAACCUGGGAACGGCAUCCGGAACUGUCAGGCUAGAGUGCAGGAGAGGAAGGUAGAAUUCCCGGUGUAGCGGUGAAAUGCGUAGAGAUCGGGAGGAAUACCAGUGGCGAAGGCGGCCUUCUGGACUGACACUGACGCUGAGGUGCGAAAGCGUGGGUAGCAAACAGGAUUAGAUACCCUUGUAGUC
rnacentral:rRNA from 1 species